rnacentral:rRNA from 1 species
GGGCCACAUUCCUUGUUCGACUUCCCCCAGUCAUGAAUCCAAAGUGGUAAGCGCCCUCCCGAAGGUUAAGCUACCUCCUUUUUUUGCAACCCACUCCCAUGGUGUGACGGGCGGUGUGUACUUUGCCCGGGAACGUAUUCACCGUAGCAUUCUGAUCUACGAUUACUAGCGAUUCCGACUUCAUGGAGUCGAGUUGCAGACUCCAAUCCGGACUACGACAGACUUUAUGAGUUCCGCUUGCUCUCGCGAGGUCGCUUCUCUUUGUAUCUGCCAUUGUAGCACGUGUGUAGCCCUACUCGUAAGGGCCAUGAUGACUUGACGUCAUCCCCACCUUCCUCCGGUUUAUCACCGGCAGUCUCCUUUGAGUUCCCACCAUUACGUGCUGGCAACAAAGGAUAAGGGUUGCGCUCGUUGCGGGACUUAACCCAACAUUUCACAACACGAGCUGACGACAGCCAUGCAGCACCUGUCUCAGCGUUCCCGAAGGCACUCCUCUAUCUCUAAAGGAUUCGCUGGAUGUCAAGAGUAGGUAAGGUUCUUCGCGUUGCAUCGAAUUAAACCACAUGCUCCACCGCUUGUGCGGGCCCCCGUCAAUUCAUUUGAGUUUUAACCUUGCGGCCGUACUCCCCAGGCGGUCGAUUUAACGCGUUAGCUCCAGAAGCCACGGUUCAAGACCACAACCUCUAAAUCGACAUCGUUUACAGCGUGGACUACCAGGGUAUCUAAUCCUGUUUGCUCCCCACGCUUUCGCACCUGAGCGUCAGUCUUUGUCCAGGGGGCCGCCUUCGCCACCGGUAUUCCUCCACAUCUCUACGCAUUUCACCGCUACACAUGGAAUUCUACCCCCCUCUACAAGACUCUAGCCAACCAGUUUCAGAUGCAAUUCCCAAGUUAAGCUCGGGGGCUUUCACAUCUGACUUAAUUGACCGCCUGCGUGCGCUUUACGCCCAGUAAUUCCCGAUUAACGCUUUGCACCCUCCCGUAUUACCGCCGGCUGCUGGGCCCGGAGUUAGCCCGGUGCUUCUUCCUGGGGGUAACGUCAAUUGGUAAAGGGUAUUAAACUUUAUCAACUUUCCUCCCCCGCUGAAAAGUACUUUUACAACCCCUAAAGGCCUUCUUUCAUAACCCGCGGGCAUGGGCUGGCAUCAAGGCUUUGCGGCCCAAUUGGGGCAAUAAUUCCCCAACUGGCUUGCCUCCCCGUAAGGAAUCUUGGGGCCCGUGGUCCUCAAUCCCCAAUGGUGGCUGGAAUCAUCCCUCUCCAAAACCAACCUUAAAGAAUCCUUUCCCCCAAAGGGUGAAGCCUUUUUACCCCCCCACCUUCAAAACUUUAAUUCCCCCAAUUGGGGUUUCCUUUCCCGAAUAUUUGGCAAGGGGGCCCGAAAAAAGCCCCCCCGCCUUUUUGGUCCCCGUGAAAAACAUUUUAUCGGGGGUAUUAAAACCACCCCGGGUUUUCCCAAAGGGGUUUUUACCCCCC